UACGUAGGGCGCGAGCGUUGUCCGGAUUUAUUGGGCGUAAAGAGCUCGUAGGCGGCUUGUCGCGUCGUCCGUGAAAACCCACAGCUCAACUGUGGGCUUGCGGUCGAUACGGGCAGGCUAGAAUUCGGUAGGGGAGACUGGAAUUCCUGGUGUAGCGGUGAAAUGCGCAGAUAUCAGGAGGAACACCGGUGGCGAAGGCGGGUCUCUGGGCAGUAACUGACGCUGAGGAGCGAAAGCGUGGGGAGCGAACAGG
rnacentral:rRNA from 1 species